UACGUAGGGGGCAAGCGUUGUCCGGAUUUAUUGGGCGUAAAGCGCGUGUAGGCGGCCAGAAAAGUCCGCUGUGAAACUCGGGGCUCAACUCCGAGCCUGCGUUCGAUACUGGAUGGCUAGAGUCUGGUAGGGGGAGUCUGGAAUUCCUGGUGUAGCGGUGAAAUGCGUAGAGUACCAGGAGGAACACCGGUGGCGAAGGCGGCGACCUGGGCCAAUACUGACGCUGAGGUGCGAAAGCGUGGGGAGCAAGCAGG
rnacentral:rRNA from 1 species